rnacentral:rRNA from 1 species
CCUGGCAACGAUAGCGCGGUGGUCCCACCUGACCCCAUGCCGAACUCAGAAGUGAAACGCCGUAGCGCCGAUGGUAGUGUGGGGUCUCC